rnacentral:rRNA from 1 species
GGGUGACGGAGCGACGCCGCGUGGGUGAAGAAGGCCUUCGGGUUGUAAAACCCUGUCAGGAGUUAUGAAAUGUAAGUGCGCUAAUAUCGUGCUUAUUUGACAAAGGCUCCAAGGGAAGCCACGGCUAACUCUGUGCCAGCAGCCGCGGUAAUACAGAGGUGGCGAGCGUUGUUCGGAAUUAUUGGGCGUAAAGAGCACGUAGGUGGGUUUGCAAGUCAGAUGUGAAAGCCUUCUGUUCAACGGAAGAAUUGCAUCUGAAACUGCUGAUCUUGAGUAUAGGAGGGGAGAAUGGAACUUCUGGUGGAGCGGUGAAAUGCGUAGAUAUCAGAAGGAACGCCGGCGGCGAAAGCGAUUCUCUGGCCUAUUACUGACACUCAGUGUGCGAAAGCUAGGGGAGCAAACGGGAUUAGAUACCCCGGUAGCCCUAGCCGUAAACGAUGGGCACUAAGUAGAGG